UACAGAGGUCUCAAGCGUUGUUCGGAUUCAUUGGGCGUAAAGGGCGCGUAGGCGGCGGGGUAAGUCGGGUGUGAAAUCUCAGAGCUCAACUCUGAAACUGCACUCGAUACUGCUUUGCUUGAGGACUGGAGAGGAGAUUGGAAUUCACGGUGUAGCAGUGAAAUGCGUAGAUAUCGUGAGGAAGACCAGUGGCGAAGGCGGAUCUCUGGACAGUUCCUGACGCUGAGGCGCGAAGGCCAGGGGAGCAAACGGG
rnacentral:rRNA from 1 species